UACGGGAGGGUGCAAGCGUUAAUCGGAUUUAUUGGGCGUAAAGGGCGCGUAGGCGGACGAAAAAGUCGGACGUGAAAUCCCAGGGCUUAAACCCUGGGAACAGCAUCCGAAACUUUUUGUCUAGAGGGUAGGCGGAGAAAACGGAAUUCCACAAGUAGCGGUGAAAUGCGUAGAUAUGUGGAAGAACACCGGUAGGCGAAGGCGGUUUUCUAGCUUAUUCCUGACGCUAAAGCGCGAAAGC
rnacentral:rRNA from 1 species